AAAUGUCAUGAUAUUUGGCUUGUUCCUUUUCUAAUCCUAAACUAAUUUGUUACUCUAUGAUGUUUAUUUGCCAUUCAACCUGUUUAUAAGCUUCUAAUGGCAGGUUUACUGUAGAUUAAGCCCAGUUUCACUGCAUGAAAGGUUAUGGAAUCACAUGAAAGGUUAUUUACUAGUUAGCUUUGUAUCCCUGCUAGAUCUGAAAAUGAAAAUAUGCCAUUUCCUCAAAAAAUCUGACAGCUUGCAGCGGGGGUGGUGGUUUGGAUCAGUCAAAUGGAACUUGUUGCAGUAGACAUAAGGUGUUUGCUUUUGUUGGCUGGACACUUGCCAAGGUGUUCUACAACAGUCAGAUUCAAUAUUGCAGUACACAUGGUGUUUUAAUUAUGUGACACAGACUUCAGAUAAUCUUCCUGGUUAUUGUUUGCCUUCUGCUCCGACUGAAAGUAUUGGCUAUGUGCUGUAGGUACGAUCUGCUACACUCGACACAUGGCUUCCAGAACAAGUUGCAUUUAUUCAAACAAUGGGAAAUGAGAAAUCAAAUAGCUACUGGGAAGCAGAAUUGCCUCCAAAUUACGACAGAAAUCUUUUGGUGGGCUCUAGUUGAUGAAUAGCCUGGAUCCAUCACACGUGCUGCGAAUCACCUUAGCACCCAUCUUCUACGUAACAUCUGUUUGUUUGUGGUCUAAACACCUUCUUGGUCUUAUUGGAUGUCUUUCACUUAGCAAUACGAGAUUUCUUGUGCAUCAACUAAAGCUUUGUGUUUUCCUAAAUUGUGCAUGGUAAAAUGGGAUUUCACUAACUUUUUAGCAUGCCUGACUUGAGCUGACAAAACAGGUUUCUUCUAAUUCAAAAGCAGAGUCGGUCCCAGUGCAGGCUGAUUCAACACAGAAAGUGCAACCUUCACCCAAUAUCCCACCUCCAAAGGUUGUUGAAAUCAUUGACCGGUAUGAGACAGUGCAUUCCAGAGAGCUCAAGAGGCAAUAAGCUUGCAUUUAUACAGGACCCGAAAAUGGACAAAACCUGCACCAGGACAGUAACGAUAAGAUUUCCUUGUAAUUAUCAUCAUCUGCUGAUUGUAAAAUUUCCCCCUUUCUCUGGGAUUUAUCUCUUUGCUGAACUGUAACUGCAUUUUAGAGAUGUCUUAAGAUCACUAAAAGUUUUAGGAUUUCAGCUCAGCGAUUGAGCUUUAAAAGAGUGAUUCUUCUAUUGUUUUUUAGUUGUGUGAUCCCUAUGAAGCUGUUGAACUCUUGAUGGAUGAAAGAUUCUUGUUUGUGUCUUGAUGAUUUCCUGCUGCUUUUCUGGAUAUAUUUGGAUCAGUCUUGACAUGUGAAACAUUUAUUUGUUUUUUGAAGUUGUGGACUGGGGGAACUUAAAAAACCUAAAAAGUUGGGAUUUGGGAGCUUAAAAAACUUAAAAGU